AGGGAGAAAAGGGCGACCCCGGAGAGCCGGGGUGCUGCUACAAGGAACAGGGGUGCAAACCAGGCCACCUCCCCUUCCCCAGCACCGGCAGCCAGCCCAGCUCCUGGGGGUCCAUCAGAGGGUACCAGACGGACAGCAAAGAGGAACCAGAGAUUUAUGGAGCGAUCAUCCCCCAUG